CCAUGUUCCAAGAGGUAAAACUAAAAAUAUGAAAUAGGUUAAACGUAUAAGUAGAAAAUAUUAUCUCAAAGAGAUCCAAAAAAACUUGAUUAUCCUCAAAUUCCACUUUUGUUCAAUCAACACCGUGUAGUUCAUAAUCUUAAAACAGGAGAAGUAAAUUGCAAUAAAGUUAUAGCAUGAUAACAUAGUGAUAGACAACUAACAGGAGCAAAUAAUAAACAAAUUAAGAUCAUUUGUAA